UGGGGAAUAUUGCACAAUGGGCGCAAGCCUGAUGCAGCCAUGCCGCGUGUAUGAAGAAGGCCUUCGGGUUGUAAAGUACUUUCAGCGGGGAGGAAGGUGUUGAGGUUAAUAACCUCAGCAAUUGACGUUACCCGCAGAAGAAGCACCGGCUAACUCCGUGCCAGCAGCCGCGGUAAUACGGAGGGUGCAAGCGUUAAUUGGAAUUACUGGGCGUAAAGCGCACGCAGGCGGUCUGUCAAGUCGGAUGUGAAAUCCCCGGGCUCAACCUGGGAACUGCAUUCGAAACUGGCAGGCUAGAGUCUUGUAGAGGGGGGUAGAAUUCCAGGUGUAGCGGUGAAAUGCGUAGAGAUCUGGAGGAAUACCGGUGGCGAAGGCGGCCCCCUGGACAAAGACUGACGCUCAGGUGCGAAAGCGUGGGGAGCAAACA
rnacentral:rRNA from 1 species